UGACAGCCUUCAGGGAAUUUCCUGAGGUGUGGGACGCAAAAGAAGACACUUGGGGGCUGUUAGUCAGUCAAGCGGGAAUAGGUUAUAAACUUAACACCACAUCCUUUGUUUUAAGCGUUGAAACAGAUGUUCAGGAAAGAGACUGGUACCAAUAGAACUCAUAUUAAGGCUAAAACUCCUCAACAAACCCCAAAUUAGUUACCGUGGUUUCCUAUUGGGUAAUCCAAGGGAAUGCAGAAAUAGUUUCUGUUCAUUUCUGAAAUCCUCAGGCCUGGAACUUCAACCCUUGUUCUGUUCAAACAUACUUGUUGACUCUGACUGCAUCAGUGAACCUCCGUCCCUUUGAUGUGUGUUUUAAGAUCGUUGCCCUGACCUUGUCAAGGGUGGCUGCCCUACUUGUGUUUCUAGGAUUGUAGUCUGGAUCCUAUUCUCUUACCUAUAGUAAUAUGAGUGAAAUAACACAGAAUAUAUACUGUAUGAGUAUCGGACUGUAUAUGUGCAGUUGUGUAGACGUGUAUAGAAUAUAUGAUUGGAACAUUACACUUGAGAAUAUGGUUAGAUAUGAUUUCCUUCUCAGCUAAUAUGGCUCAUAUAGAUGCAAACAGCAAGUGUUGCCUUCAUUAUAAGGCUAAUAGAAGGCUUUUCAUUUUUUGCAGCUCUAGACAUAUUUAGUUGGGUUUUUUUUGGUUUGUUUUUUGGUCCAAUAUGGUUUGCGCGCAUGACCCCCC